UACGUAGGGUGCAAGCGUUAAUCGGAAUUACUGGGCGUAAAGCGUGCGCAGGCGGCUUUGCAAGACAGAUGUGAAAUCCCCGGGCUUAACCUGGGAACUGCAUUUGUGACUGCAUGGCUAGAGUGCGGCAGAGGGGGAUGGAAUUCCGCGUGUAGCAGUGAAAUGCGUAGAUAUGCGGAGGAACACCGAUGGCGAAGGCAGGUCUCUGGGCAUUAACUGACGCUGAGGAGCGAAAGCAUGGGGAGCGAACAGG
rnacentral:rRNA from 1 species